UACGUAGGGGGCAAGCGUUGUCCGGAUUUAUUGGGCGUAAAGAGCGUGUAGGCGGCCAGACAGGUCCGUUGUGAAAACUCGAGGCUCAACCUCGAGACGCCGAUGGAAACCGUCUGGCUAGAGUCCGGAAGAGGAGAGUGGAAUUCUUGGUGUAGCGGUGAAAUGCGCAGAUAUCAGGAGGAACACCCGUGGCUAAGGCGGCUCUCUAGUACGGUACUGACGCUGAGACGCGAAAGCGUGGGGAGCGAACAGG
rnacentral:rRNA from 1 species